rnacentral:tRNA from 1 species
GCGGAUGUGGCGGAACGGCAGACGCGCUGGUUUCAGGUUCCAGUAUCGAGAGAUGUGUGGGUUCAAAUCCCUUCAUCCGCACCA